AUUGAACGCUGGCGGCAGGCUUAACACAUGCAAGUCGAACGGUAGCAGGUAAGUACUUGUACUUAUGCUGACGAGUGGCGGACGGGUGAGUAAUGCUUGGGGAUCUGGCUUAUGGAGGGGGAUAACGACGGGAAACUGUCGCUAAUACCGCGUAGAAUCGGGAGAUGAAAGUGUGGGACCUUCGGGCCACAUGCCAUAGGAUGAGCCCAAGUGGGAUUAGGUAGUUGGUGGGGUAAUGGCCUACCAAGCCGACGAUCUCUAGCUGGUCUGAGAGGAUGACCAGCCACACCGGGACUGAGACACGGCCCGGACUCCUACGGGAGGCAGCAGUGGGGAAUAUUGCGCAAUGGGGGCAACCCUGACGCAGCCAUGCCGCGUGAAUGAAGAAGGCCUUCGGGUUGUAAAGUUCUUUCGGUGACGAGGAAGGCUGUUGUGUUAAUAGCGCAACAAAUGAC
rnacentral:rRNA from 1 species